AUUGAACGCUGGCGGCAGGCCUAACACAUGCAAGUCGAGCGGAUGAAGGGAGCUUGCUCCUGGAUUCAGCGUCGGACGGGUGAGUAAUGCCUAGGAAUCUGCCUGGUAGUGGGGGAUAACGUCCGGAAACGGGCGCUAAUACCGCAUACGUCCUGAGGGAGAAAGUGGGGGAUCUUCGGACCUCACGCUAUCAGAUGAGCCUAGGUCGGAUUAGCUAGUUGGUGGGGUAAAGGCCUACCAAGGCGACGAUCCGUAACUGGUCUGAGAGGAUGAUCAGGCACACUGGAACUGAGACACGGUCCAGACUCCUACGGGAGGCAGCGGUGGGGAAUAUUGGACAAUGGGCGAAAGCCUGAUCCAGCCAUGCCGCGUGUGUGAAGAAGGUCUUCGGAUUGUAAAGCACUUUAAGUUGGGAGGAAGGGCAGUAAGUUAAUACCUUGCUGUUUUGACGUUACCAACAGAAUAAGCACCGGCUAACUUCGUG
rnacentral:rRNA from 1 species